rnacentral:misc_RNA from 1 species
UCCGGCUUAACGCCGGCAGUCCCCCUAGAGUGCCCAACUGAAUGGUGGCAGCUAAGGGCAAGGGUUGCGCUCGUUGCGGGACUUAACCCAACAUCUCACGACACGAGCUGACGACAACCAUGCAGCACCUCUGCUCGCUCCCUUGCGGGUCAGCCACUGUUUCCAGCGGCUUACCACGAGUAGUUCAAGCCCAGGUAAGGUUCUUCGCGUUGCGUCGAAUUAAACCACAUGCUCCACCGCUUGUGCGGGCCCCCGUCAAUUCCUUUGAGUUUCAACCUUGCGGCCGUACUCCCCAGGCGGCUCAUUUAAUGCGUUAGCUACGGCGCGAAAGGGGUCGAUACCUCUCACACCUAAUGAGCAUCGUUUAGGGCUAGGACUAC